GCACUGCUAGCGAGUCCCAAACAGGACGAAACAGCUGUCUAGUGC
rfam:Echinostoma caproni strain Egypt genome assembly, scaffold: ECPE_scaffold0008561